rnacentral:rRNA from 1 species
GAUGAACGCUGGCGGCGUGCUUAACACAUGCAAGUCGAACGGUGAAGCAGGAGCUUGCUCUUGUGGAUCAGUGGCGAACGGGUGAGUAACACGUGAGCAACCUGCCCCUGACUCUGGGAUAAGCGCUGGAAACGGCGUCUAAUACUGGAUAUGUGAUGUGACCGCAUGGUCUGCAUCUGGAAAGAAUUUCGGUUGGGGAUGGGCUCGCGGCCUAUCAGCUUGUUGGUGAGGUAUGGCUCACCAAGGCGUCGACGGGUAGCCGGCCUGAGAGGGUGACCGGCCACACUGGGACUGAGACACGGCCCAGACUCCUACGGGAGGCAGCAGUGGGGAAUAUUGCACAAUGGGCGGAAGCCUGAUGCAGCAACGCCGCGUGAGGGAUGACGGCCUUCGGGUUGUAAACCUCUUUUAGCAGGGAAGAAGCGAAAGUGACGGUACCUGCAGAAAAAGCACCGGCUAACCACGUGCCAGCCGCCGCUGUAA